UCUGUCCCCAGGAGUGCCAGCCUGAGGACACGUGAGGGCUUGAAGGGUGCACGGGCUCCCAGGAUCGCCUCCCUCUGCUCCCGUCCUCCUCCACAGGCUGACCUCGGGCCGCAGGCCCUUCCACUAAGGGCCCUGGUUCUGCAGGGGAAGCAGAGGGACCCGCCCUCCCAAGCCGGAGCCACCGCGGCACCCGCCCCAGCAGAGGCAGCCAGGCGCGGACACUGAGGAGCCCACCGCACCGACUGCUCGCAGCGCUUGGCACUGGAGUAGGAGACCGCGUCAGAGGCCUGUGGGGAGGGCCUGCCUGCCCGCUGCCGGCAGCCGGUGUCGCUGUCCAGACAGAGCACAGGAUACAGCGAGGGCGGCGGGAAAGCUGGCCUCAUAUUCCAGCCCAGACCCUUUCCUUGGACAGUGUGCAUCUCCUAGGCCUCACUCAGGUCAAGGUCAAAGGUCCAUGUGGCUUGGUACCCGUGGGUUCCUGGGAUUCAGGUGUGGACACCUUUGGGAAGCUCUUGUCUGCCUACCACAGGCACCACAGAAGCCAGUGUAAUGAGGGCGAAAAGUAUGGGCCAGGGAAGGGUAAGGAGGCCUGAGCUCACACUUACUCUGCCACUUCAUGCUGAGGUGACUGGGCAAGUGACUUAACCUCUCUGUGUUUCACUUGUCUCAUUCAUUCCACAACUAUGUGUGGAAUUCCUGCGGGGUCUAAGUUGGGGGAUAAAGCAAGGACUCUUCCUCUCAUGGACAUUAUUUCCUGUGGGAGGGUCAUGGAAUCAACAUAUAAAAUGUCAGGUGGUGGGAAUAAUUAUUAUGGAGA